GAGGGUUCCUCCCACUCACUCCGAGCGAUUUAAAAGGCAUGAAUCAUCUCAGGACGUCUCCAUUUAAUACUCUUCAGUGGGAGCGAACCGCAGGUUACUGAAACCGCUUACCAGGAACUGAAUCUGCCUGGAUCUUGGACUUCCCAGUGCGCCGAAGUGUGAGAAAUGAAUGUGGUUGUGAAGCCGCCCCAUCCAUGUAUUUGGUUACAGGAGCCUGAGCCGGCUAAGGCAGGGAGGAGAAACCCAUGCCUGGGUGUCGGGAGACUGAGUUUGCAUCCCUGGUUUGCUAGGCUGCCCAUCUGUGCAGGGGGGACGAUGACCUCUCCGGCGGAGGGGAUGUCUGCACCGAAGCUGACCGGCACUAGGGGUUCUGAUAGGGAUAGCUGCCUACAAGCACCCCUGACCAUGGCGGGGGAGGUGAGGACGCCCGGGGAAGGAAUCUCACGCAGCACGUGUCAGGAAGUGCGCGGGGUCUGGGGAGCACGCAUGUACCGGUCCCCUCCCUGGUUAUCCAUUUGCCUGCUCUGGUCCUCGCUCUGGGGGGGUUUGACCAGUUAGCCCAGCAAACGCCCUUGGACAUGGCCCUGUGCACACGUGCCUUUGGCGCUUAGGCAGCACUUUGCUGUUCAGGUUUUUAUUUAACUCGAAGGAAAAAAUAAGACACUUAUUCCCUGCCCCCAUACACCCUGCGCAAACACCCAGCUGACCUCAGCUCCACGCAGCACCGAGGUCAGCCAGGGCCUGGCAGCCCACCCUCGUGGGGACAGGAGCUGCAUGUCCUUGUGCCCAGAGCGCUGGGGCCGACUCCUUGCUCUGCCCCUGGGGGUGAGAAGGGGGUGGUCUCUACAGCAUCGUGGGGAGGACUCGAGAAGAUGAUGGACGUGCCAUGCUGUGUGGAACAGCGCCGUGAUCAUCCCUACACCGACCCCCUGAGAUUCAGCACUGUUCACAUGUGGCUUUUCUUCUUGCUUUUCUUUGCUGGAACCUGCGGGAGUCAGACAGAGACGCCACCAUCACCUGCCCGCGGACACUUCAAAUACCUUCCAAAAAUAAGGGCAUUGUUUUCACAGGUGACUGCACUCCACAAUCUCUGCUGGAAGACUAGCAAUGCAUUCCGAGUGUCCUUUCAUGCCCAGUUUAUAUUUAGAUGUCCAGGACUGUCCCCCAAAUAACGUUAACAGAGGGUUUUGUGUUCGUUUGUUUCAAAUCAAGUUCAUACCCGGCACCGUGGCUGAUGCAUUUUGAGCUCCUUUUAACCGAGAAGCCCCUUUUUCUUGCCUGCAGCCUCUGUAUUUUGCAUUUUUGAUGUUGACAUUGGCUGCUGGUCAAGAGCAGGCCAUUCUCCGAGAAGGCCCCGCACCCUGGAACCCUGGAAUGGUCCACCGGCCCCUCAUCCACCUAGAACCGGUUCCCAGCUGGGCCUGAACUGGGCCCUGUCCAGAGCUGGCUGUGACUGGCCGUCAGUGAAGGGACACUCCGUGACACCCUCAGAGGUGGGGGGCGGGGCACAUGGAGCCAGGGCCCAGGGGGUCCGGGCAGAGGACAAGCUUGUAUCGAAGGGAAGCCAGCACGGGGAUUGCUCCUGCCCCUCACCCGGCGUGUCACCUGCGGUCCCCUCCCCCGCCAGGUGCACUGUCUCACACAGCUUCUCCUUCCCUGUCCCGCAUGCCCACUGUCUUCUCACCUCACGGAGGCCCAGGAAAAGCCCUGGGCACCCAUGGAUGUCUCCCCUCCCCCUGCCCUGCUCCCCUGCAAAUCCUAGAUGGACGAAAACGUUCACCAGCACGAAGAAAAAUAAAGAGAUGGAUAAAGCAAUACGUAAAUAGGAGAAACGAGAGCAGAAAUACAGCCGGCCACCUUUCCCUCCGAGGGACAAACACAGCCGUACCCUGAAGAGCAAGGAAACUUGUUCUGGAGACUUUCAAGGGCGAAGGUGCAGGGAUAGUGCCUGUAUCUUAGAAGCCGGAACAGAAUGCGCAUCACGUGACACCCCUAAGUGACUUGCACGUCCCUGAAAGCCCACCGUGACCACAUUCCCCGCCAGAAGGCCCUCCUUCUCCCCUAGAAAAAACUGAUGAGCCCAUGAGCCCCGUUCUACAAGCAAAGGCCCUUCACUGGCUCAAAUCAAAAUCCUGGAUGGAGUGACCUGCGGAUAGGUAUGACUUUAAGAAAAUACAGGGAAGGCUCUAACUGGAAUGCAAACGAAAGGAAAAUGGUUUGUGAUGCAGUGAUGAUACACAGUUCGCUAUGCAGAUGUCUGGGCAGGGCGGCGCUGGGAAACUGAAGGGCGCAGUCAGGUCGCCGGCACCUGCACAUACAUAAAGUCGCCAUGCCUGCGUGCGUGCGUGCGUGCGUGCGUGCGGCUGCCAACGCAGGCCCACGUGGGUGUGUUUUGCUGGCGACUCCAAGCACUUCUCUGAGUGACAGGAUUUUCCAAAAACAGCAAAUCGCUCUUAAAUAAACCCCAGAGCCAGAGAAGUGCAAUGUCUUUUGAUUUGCAUGGCAGUGGCAUCCUAGGACAUUCAGGGGACAUUAACCCUGUGCACAGCCCCUCUGGGUGUCUCUGUAAAAU